rnacentral:rRNA from 1 species
UACAGAGGGUGCAAGCGUUCAUCGGAAUUACUGGGCGUAAAGCGCACGUAGGCGGUUUUUUAAGUCAGAUGUGAAAGCCCCGGGCUCAACCUGGGAAUUGCAUUUGAAACUGGGAAACUAGAGUGUGUGAGAGGGGGGUAGAAUUCCAAGUGUAGCGGUGAAAUGCGUAGAGAUUUGGAGGAAUACCAGUGGCGAAGGCGGCCCCCUGGCACAACACUGACGCUCAGGUGCGAAAGCGUGGGGAGCAAACAGG